GGCAGACCGUGCGCUCAGGCCCGCGCCAACUGCUGCUCGGUGUCUCUGGAAGUGGCUUCUCUUAACCUCCAUUUCUGGUAUUGGCCCGUCUGACGUUAUGUGGUGAAAGGAGGAAAUUAAUGAAGAGAGUAUUUAUCAAGACACUGGAAUGACUUUGUGAUCCACCGGCUGAGGAUGCACCGCUAAUUUAUGUAACGUGAAUAAAGAAAAAUGUUGCUGCUUAACCUGUGACACUGUGAGAUGUCAAAGAUGUUAUAACAAGAAAAAAAAAGUGAAUUAGGAAAUUAAUGUGACCCUGCCAAAAAAUAAAAUCAAAGAACAACAAAGAAAGAGAGAAGAAGGAAGGAUGGGAGGAAGGAAGGGAGGAAGGGAGGAAGGGAGGAAAUUUUGUUCCACACUGCCUGGAUUUUGUGGUUUGGUAUGUCUUGAAUUUCUACUCUGUUUAGAAGAUUUGAUAUUAUUAAUUUAGUUAAAAGAGUACACAAAGGUAAAUCACAUUUUAGUGGGCAGAAAAUAUAAAAAGAAAAUGAAAAGAAAUUCAAUUAAUAUAUUAGAACACUAUUCUGUUUCACUAGCAAUAAGAAAUUAUCAAGAUGACAUACAAUUUUCUGUCUAAUGUGAUGAGGCUGUGAAAGAGAGAGUGGUAUUUUAUUAAAAUUCUUCUAAAUUUAGCAAACAGGGUACACUUGACUUUUAGGGGAAAUGUAUAUCUUAACUAUAAACUAUAUUGAAAAAAUUGUCACACAUGAAAACAUGCCAAUUAUUGAAAUCCCUUUGGUUCAAUAUUUCACUGAUUUUUAAUGUAAACUUCUUCA